rnacentral:rRNA from 1 species
UACAGAGGUCCCGAGCGUUGUUCGGAUUCACUGGGCGUAAAGGGUGCGUAGGUGGUGAGGUAAGUCGGAUGUGAAAUCUCAGGGCUCAACCCGGAAAUGGCAUUGGAAACUACCUUGCUGGAGGAUUUGAGGGGGGAUUGGAAUACUUGGUGUAGCAGUGAAAUGCGUAGAUAUCAAGUGGAACACCAGUGGCGAAGGCGAAUCCCUGGAAAAUACCUGACACUGAGGCACGAAAGCUAGGGGAGCAAACAGG